rnacentral:rRNA from 1 species
CUACGGGAGGCAGCAGUGGGGAAUCUUCCACAAUGGGCGCAAGCCUGACGGAGCAAUGCCGCGUGAGUGAAGAAGGCCUUCGGGUUGUAAAACUCUGUCCUUAUCGAAGAGAGCUGAGCGGAGUAACUGCCGCUUAGAGGACGGUAGAUAAGGAGGAAGCCCCGGCUAACUAUGUGCCAGCAGCCGCGGUAAAACAUAGGGGGCAAGCGUUGUCCGGAAUCACUGGGCGUAAAGGGCGCGCAGGCGGCCCUGUAAGUCAGGUGUGAAAGUUCGGGGCUCAACCCCGUGAUGGCACCUGAUACUGCAGGACUUGAGUAUGGGAGAGGCAAGUGGAAUUCCUAGUGUAGCGGUGAAAUGCGUAGAUAUUAGGAGGAACACCAGUGGCGAAGGCGGCUUGCUGGACCAAAACUGACGCUGAGGCGCGAAAGCGUGGGGAGCAAACAGGAUUAGAUACCCUUGUAGUCC